UCCCGUUGCCUCUCGGAGAGGUUGUUGAGCCUCUGCCAGAGGAAUUUGGGGAGCAUGUGGCGGUUGGGGUCAUAACAGUAAGCAGUACUUGGGCGCCCGAAGUUCCCCAGGAGCCGGCCACCGCGGGUCCCUCUCGUCCAGCUCAAGUAACUGGUCAGGACCUCAAUGUUCCCCUACCUGUGCCCUUUGGCGACGCAAAGGAGUCUGGUGCAUCAAUAUUUGAUAUUGUUACUCCCCGUGAUGGGAACCGUUCACGCCCGACCAGCUGUUUGAGGCCAGAAGACAAGUGGACUGCGUCUUGUGGCAAGUGCAACACCGCCCCACAUCCCUUCCCCCGCCCCAGCCCUAUCCCAGUCCCAAACCCCCAAGCCAUUUUCUCACCACGUUUCUCCCUCUCCUCCUCAUUACUAUCCUCCAACCUCUUUCACCACUCCCUCUACUCUAGCUCGGUAAAGUCCAUCUCCUGCCCAAUCCUCAAUCCUGUUUUUUGGAAUAUAUUUAUUUAAAAAUUUUAUUUAUUCUUAAUAAAUGUUUGUAUUGAA